AACCUUUCCCGUCCUUUUGGCUAAGAUCACGUGUAGUAUCUGUUAUUAUCAGUUUAAUAUCUGAUACGUGGGCCAUUGGUCCACACGAUAUUAAAUAAAUGUUUUAAAGGGUAGGGCCCACCAUGGUAGCUUACAAUUGCCAACUGGGGCUCUCGAGCGUUGCCCAGGUUUUGCACUGAAUAUUAAUAGAUGAUGAUUAA
rnacentral:snRNA from 1 species